rnacentral:rRNA from 1 species
GUCUACGGCCAUGCCACUCUGAACAAGCCCGAUCCCAUCUGAUCUCGGAAACUAAGCAGGGUUGGGCCUCAUUAGUUCUUGGAUGGGAGACCACCUAGGAAGACCAGGUGCUGUAGGCA